GUUUUUAAUAAGCAAUGGAUUUAGUUCCCUCUCUUAACAUCUAACGUGAACUCUGCCGCAUCCACCGCAAGCAUCAGCGCCGCCGCCGCCCUGAAGCCUCAGAAAGUUGUUGCUCUUUUCGCUGCUCAAACCUGCCAUACCACUCCAUCGGCUGCUGCUGAUUGCUACUUUCGUGUGCACUUGGCUUCUAUUUUCUCAGGGGCUCGAGAAGAUGGCAACUGGAGCUGGACUAGAGACUCUUGUUGAUCAAACAAUUUCAAUUAUCACAAAUGAUGGGCGGAAUAUUGUGGGAAUUCUAAAAGGUUUCGAUCAAGCAACCAACAUAAUUCUUGAUGAGUCUCAUGAACGUGUGUACUCCACAAAGAAGCAUUGUUGGCGAGUUGGAUGAAGAGCUAGAUGCAAGCUUGGACUUAUCGAAACUUAGAGCUCAUCCUUUGAAGCCAGUCAUUCACUGAUGUGUGCCAUUGCGAAUACAUAAGCAAAUGCCUUAAAGCUGUUGAGCUUUGCUUGUAAGAAUGAUAGUUUAGCUAGAAGCAGGAGAGGUAAAAUGUGGAUGUUUGAUCGAUAUUAUUUGAUAAAUACCAUUGUUCUCAUUCAUGUUUGCUUUGCGGUUGUAUGGUGACCUUCACAAUUUGGGUUUGCUGCCAUGAUUUAAAGGAAUGAAGAAGUAAAUGUCCAUUCAGAUGUGUA